GGACUUGUUACUAAUGGGAGUGUUACAGCUUUAUCUGCAUACACUUAAGGAACAUAUAAUGCUUUCCUUGGUGAACGAACUAUAGAUGCUCCAUCUGACGGAAAAAUUUAUAUGAUCUGCUAUUACUGUGUAGUCUUUUGUGCCAUGUGGACUUUAAUAUACAACAGCAGGGGUAUGGUGGUCUCCCUUCAACUGAGUCUUUAUUGUAUAUCUGUUGAUGGAAAUU
rnacentral:lncRNA from 1 species